CCCUUAGACGUUCUGGGCCGCACGCGCGCUACACUGACCAGUGCAACAAGCAUCCGUCCUUGGCCGACAGGCCCGGGCAAUCUUUGAACGCUGGUCGUGAUGGGGAUAGACUUUUGCAAUUUUUGGUCUUCAACGAGGAAUUCCUAGUAAACGCAAGUAAUCAACUUGCAUUGAUUACGUCCCUGCCCUUUGUACACACCGCCCGUCGCACCUACCGAUUGAAUGGUCCGGUGAAGCCUCCGGAUUGGCGCGCACCUCGGUGCCGCCGAGAAGUUGGCUAAACCUUACCAUUUAGAGGAAGGUGAAGUCGUAACA
rnacentral:rRNA from 1 species